UUUUUUUUUGACUUGGGUGAUCUAUUGUCCAUCCUAAAGAGCUAUCUUUGAUUUUUGUGAUUUUUUAUAUAGUUAAAAGGUCAUUCUAGGAUUAGAGAUGGUUUAAUUAAGAUCGAUCAAUCGGUGGUGUGGUCCAUUUGAAAAUUCCAAAACGUUUAUAUUUUUUAGGUAUGGUGCUAAACGUGGAGGAUUUGGAAAACAAAAGUAUUUUUCAGAAGGGUGUCUUGGUAUGUCAAUAGUCAACUCUUGUAUAGAAGAGUGUUCGACAAGAGUAGACUACAAUUUGGAGAGAGUAAAAUUCUUGAGUUUUUUUGGAUACUUUUGUUAUAUUGAUAAUGGUUCUUGGUGUUAGACUUUAGCAUGUUAUUUUCUAAUUUGUUGAUUUUAACUUGUUUUCGUAUUUCUUUUUUUAGGUUUUUCUUUACUUGUCAUUUAUGUUACAUGCUAUAUAUGUUUUUAUUGUUUUUCUGGCUAGUAGCUUGGUACCUCCAGUGACUUUUACAUUAUCCUUUGUAACUAUAUUGUGUGUGCAGUUGCUCCGGUGACUUUUACAUUAUCCUUUGUAACUAUAUUGUGUGUGCAGUUGUUAUGCUCUCUUAGGGUUUUGGUUGUUACUUAUCUUGUUUAUUAUCAUUUAAUUUACUAUUUUCUUCAUUGAAUCUCCUCUCAGUUAGAUCACUG
rnacentral:lncRNA from 1 species